AUUAGACGAAUCAUCUGGAAAGAUGAAUCAAAGAAGGUAAUAAUCCUGUAGUCGAAAAUGUUGUCUCUCUUGAGUGGAUCCUGAGUACGACGGAGCACGUGAAAUUCCGUCGGAAUCUGGGAGGACCAUCUCCUAAGGCUAAAUACUCUCUAGUGACCGAUAGUGAACCAGUACCGUGAGGGAAAGGUGAAAAGCACCCCGGAAGGGGAGUGAAAUAGAACCUGAAACCGUGUGCUUACAAGUAGUCAGAGCCCGUUAAUGGGUGAUGGCGUGCCUUUUGUAGAAUGAACCGGCGAGUUACGAUUUGAUGCAAGGUUAAGCAGUAAAUGUGGAGCCGUAGCGAAAGCGAGUCUGAAUAGGGCGUUUAGUAUUUGGUCGUAGACCCGAAACCAGGUGAUCUACCCUUGGUCAGGUUGAAGUUCAGGUAACACUGAAUGGAGGACCGAACCGACUUACGUUGAAAAGUGAGCGGAUGAACUGAGGGUAGCGGAGAAAUUCCAAUCGAACCUGGAGAUAGCUGGUUCUCUCCGAAAUAGCUUUAGGGCUAGCCUCAAGUGAUGAUUAUUGGAGGUAGAGCACUGUUUGGACGAGGGGCCCCUCUCGGGUUACCGAAUUCAGACAAACUCCGAAUGCCAAUUAAUUUAACUUGGGAGUCAGAACAUGGGUGAUAAGGUCCGUGUUCGAAAGGGAAACAGCCCAGACCACCAGCUAAGGUCCCAAAAUAUAUGUUAAGUGGAAAAGGAUGUGGCGUUGCCCAGACAACUAGGAUGUUGGCUUAGAAGCAGCCAUCAUUUAAAGAGUGCGUAAUAGCUCACUAGUCGAGUGACACUGCGCCGAAAAUGUACCGGGGCUAAACAUAUUACCGAAGCUGUGGAUUGUCCUUUGGACAAUGGUAGGAGAGCGUUCUAAGGGCGUUGAAGCAUGAUCGUAAGGACAUGUGGAGCGCUUAGAAGUGAGAAUGCCGGUGUGAGUAGCGAAAGACGGGUGAGAAUCCCGUCCACCGAUUGACUAAGGUUUCCAGAGGAAGGCUCGUCCGCUC
rnacentral:rRNA from 1 species